rnacentral:rRNA from 1 species
ACGGGGUGCAGCAGGCGCGAAUACUCCGCAAUGCGGGCAACCGCGACGGGGCUACCCCGAGUGCCGGGCGAAGAGCCCGGCUUUUGCCCGGUCUAAAACGCCGGGAGAAUAAGCGGGGGGCAAGUCUGGUGUCAGCCGCCGCGGUAAUACCAGCUCCGCGAGUGGUCGGGGUGUUUACUGGGCUUAAAGCGCCCGUAGCCGGCCCGGCAAGUCGCUCCUGAAAUCCCAGGGCUCAACCCUGGGGCGGGGGGCGAUACUGCCGGGCUAGGGGGCGGAAGAGGCCGCCGGUACUCCGGGGGUAGGGGCGAAAUCCGUUAAUCCCCGGAGGACCACCAGUGGCGAAAGCGGGCGGCCAGAACGCGCCCGACGGUGAGGGGCGAAAGCCGGGGGAGCAAAGGGGAUUAGAUACCCCUGUAGUCCCGGCCGUAAACGAUGCGGGCUAGCUGUCGGCUGGGCUUAGGGCCCGGCCGGUGGCGAAGGGAAACCGUUAAGCCCGCCGCCUGGGGAGUACGGCCGCAAGGCUGAAACUUAAAGGAAUUGGCGGGGGAGCAC